rnacentral:rRNA from 1 species
GAUGAACGCUGGCGGCGUGCCUAAUACAUGCAAGUCGAGCGAACAGACGAGGAGCUUGCUCCUCUGACGUUAGCGGCGGACGGGUGAGUAACACGUGGAUAACCUACCUAUAAGACUGGGAUAACUUCGGGAAACCGGAGCUAAUACCGGAUAAUAUAUUGAACCGCAUGGUUCAAUAGUGAAAGACGGUUUUGCUGUCACUUAUAGAUGGAUCCGCGCCGCAUUAGCUAGUUGGUAAGGAACAGCUUACCAAGGCAACGAUGCGUAGCCGACCUGAGAGGGUGAUCGGCCACACUGGAACUGAGACACGGUCCAGACUCCUACGGGAGGCAGCAGUAGGGAAUCUUCCGCAAUGGGCGAAAGCCUGACGGAGCAACGCCGCGUGAGUGAUGAAGGUCUUCGGAUCGUAAAACUCUGUUAUUAGGGAAGAACAAAUGUGUAAGUAACUAUGCACGUCUUGACGGUACCUAAUCAGAAAGCCACGGCUAGCUACGUG